rnacentral:rRNA from 1 species
CGCCAUGGGGGAAGCGGAUUGCAUCAGUGUUUGCUUGUAUCUGUUCAGCUAUCAUUUUUGGUAGUGUAUUCACUUGCUUGCUGUGUUGGCAUGGCUGCUUUGGCUUUGGAUUAUGCAAGGCUAAGUGGUGAGGGCUCCUUUCUAGUUUGAGGAUGUCAACAAAAUGAUGCGACCCGACCCGUCUUGAAACACGGACCAAGGAGUCUAGCACUACUGCAAGUCGAAGGGUUUAAAAACUCAUGGGCGAAGUGAAAGCGAAUAUUAGGAGAUCUGAUACAGAUUAGGGAGGUGUUGCGACUUUGUCAAAAUAUCCUACCCAGAGCAGUUGUGCUGGGACCCGAAAGAUGGUGAACUAUGCCGGAAUAGGGCAAAGCCAGAGGAAACUCUGGUGGAGGCUCGUAGCGAUGCUGACGUGCAAAUCGCUCGUCGAAUUUGGGUAUAGGGGCGAAAGACUAAUCGAACCAUCUAGUAGCUGGUUCCCUCCGAAGUUUCUCUCAGGAUAGCGGGCCGACGAUGUGGGUUGUUUUGUGUGGUAAAGCGAAUGAUUAGCGCUUUUGGGGGUGUAAUACCUUCAGUCGAUUCUCAAACUUUAAAUACGCAAGACAGAGGUGGUUGCUUAGUUGAACCUCUCUUCUGAAAAUGUCGGCCCUGUGGGCCACUUUUGGUAAG